GACGUGCGACCGUCAGAAGAGUUCAAUCAUUCCCACAUAGUUCAUGAUUCUAUCAUAAACAUUCCUCCGUCAAUCUUAAAGCAGAGCAAAACUGCAAACCAAAUAGAGAAAGUUAUCGCAGAACCAUUCAAUCACUGUGGGCUCAAAGGAGUAAAUUCAAAUACAUAAUUCUAAUUGAUGAAUACUCUUCAGAGGAUGGUUUUUUACCUGAAUCUCCACUUGCUGUUGCCUUGCAGGCCAUUAACAAUUGGGACCCUAACACUAAGUAUGAAAAUAAAGCUGUUUUUCUAAAUGGUGGAUAUGCAGAAUGGAUGAAUUCUUACCCAUUUCGAACUACAAACCCGAAUGUCCAGUUUCCUUCCCAUGAUAUUUCACUAUUAAGUUUAGAAGAUAU
rnacentral:lncRNA from 1 species